rnacentral:rRNA from 1 species
GUUGUAUGGUUAAGUGACUAAGCGUACAUGGUGGAUGCCUUGGCAGUCAGAGGCGAUGAAGGACGUACUAACCUGCGAUAAGCCGUGAGCAGUCGGUAAGAGACAUUACGACUCACGGAUUUCCGAAUGGGGAAACCCACUUAGCAUAAGCUAGGUAUCGCUGCGUGAAUACAUAGCGUAGCGAGGCGAACCGGGAGAACUGAAACAUCUAAGUACCCCGAGGAAAAGAAAUCAACCGAGAUUCCCUCAGUAGCGGCGAGCGAACGGGGAUUAGCCCUUAAGCAUCUUGGAAGUUAGUGGAACGGUCCUGGAAAGGCCGGCGAUACAGGGUGAUAGCCCCGUACACGAAAACAACCUUGAUGUGAAAUCGAGUAGGGCGGGACACGUGACAUCCUGUCUGAAUAUGGGGGGACCAUCCUCCAAGGCUAAAUACUCCUGACUGACCGAUAGUGAACCAGUACCGUGAGGGAAAGGCGAAAAGAACCCCUGUGAGGGGAGUGAAAUAGAACCUGAAACCGUGUACGUACAAGCAGUGGGAGCCCUUCGGGGUGACUGCGUACCUUUUGUAUAAUGGGUCAGCGACUUACAUUUUGUAGCGAGGUUAACCGUAUAGGGGAGCCGUAGGGAAACCGAGUCUUAACUGGGCGUCUAGUUGCAAGGUGUAGACCCGAAACCGGGUGAUCUAGCCAUGGGCAGGUUGAAGGUUGAGUAACAUCAACUGGAGGACCGAACCCACUAACGUUGCAAAGUUAGGGGAUGACCUGUGGCUGGGGGUGAAAGGCCAAUCAAACUCGGAGAUAGCUGGUUCUCCCCGAAAGCUAUUUAGGUAGCGCCUCGGACGAAUACUACUGGGGGUAGAGCACUGUUUGGGCUAGGGGGUCAUCCCGACUUACCAACCCCAUGCAAACUCCGAAUACCAGUAAGUAAUAUCCGGGAGACACACGGCGGGUGCUAACGUCCGUCGUGAAGAGGGAAACAACCCAGACCGCCGGCUAAGGUCCCAAAGUUCUGGUUAAGUGGGAAACGAUGUGGGAAGGCUCAGACAGCUAGGAUGUUGGCUUAGAAGCAGCCAUCAUUUAAAGAAAGCGUAAUAGCUCACUAGUCGAGUCGGCCUGCGCGGAAGAUGUAACGGGGCUCAAACCAGGCACCGAAGCCGCGGAUUCACGCUAAGCGUGAGUGGUAGGGGAGCGUUCUGUAAGUCUGCGAAGGUGUGUCGAGAGGCAUGCUGGAGAUAUCAGAAGUGCGAAUGCUGACGUAAGUAACGAUAAAGGGGGUGAAAAGCCUCCUCGCCGGAAGACCAAGGGUUCCUGUCCAACGUUAAUCGGGGCAGGGUGAGUCGACCCCUAAGGCGAGGCCGAAAGGCGUAGUCGAUGGGAAGCAGGUUAAUAUUCCUGCACGACUUGUAAUUGCGAUGGGGGGACGGAGAAGGCUAGGUGGGCCAGGCGACGGUUGUCCUGGUGAAAGUGCGUAGGUGGUGUUUCUAGGCAAAUCCGGAGACACAACACUGAGACACGAGACGAACACACUACGGUGUGGAAGCCAUUGAUGCCCUGCUUCCAGGAAAAGCCUCUAAGCUUCAGAUUACAAGUCAUCGUACCCCAAACCGACACAGGUGGUCGGGUAGAGAAUACCAAGGCGCUUGAGAGAACUCGGGUGAAGGAACUAGGCAAAAUAGAACCGUAACUUCGGGAGAAGGUUCGCUCUUGACAGUGAAGUCCCUUGCGGAUGGAGCAGUUGGGAGUCGCAGUGACCAGAUGGCUGGGACUGUUUAUCAAAAACACAGCACUCUGCAAACACGAAAGUGGACGUAUAGGGUGUGACACCUGCCCGGUGCCGGAAGGUUAAUUGAUGGGGUUAGCGCAAGCGAAGCUCUUGAUCGAAGCCCCGGUAAACGGCGGCCGUAACUAUAACGGUCCUAAGGUAGCGAAAUUCCUUGUCGGGUAAGUUCCGACCUGCACGAAUGGUGUAACCAUGGCCAUGCUGUCUCCACCCGAGACUCAGUGAAAUCGAAUUCGCCGUGAAGAUGCGGUGUACCCGCGGCUAGACGGAAAGACCCCGUGAACCUUUACUACAGCUUGGCACUGAACAUUGAACCUACAUGUGUAGGAUAGGUGGGAGGCUUUGAAGGCGUGACGCCAGUUGCGCUGGAGCCGUCCUUGAAAUACCACCCUUGUAUGUUUGAUGUUCUAACGCAGGCCCGUGAAUCCGGGUCGCGGACAGUGCCUGGUGGGUAGUUUGACUGGGGCGGUCUCCUCCCAAAGAGUAACGGAGGAGCACGAAGGUUGGCUAAUCCUGGUCGGACAUCAGGAGGUUAGUGCAAUGGCAUAAGCCAGCUUAACUGCGAGACGGACAGGUCGAGCAGGUACGAAAGUAGGUCAUAGUGAUCCGGUGGUUCUGAAUGGAAGGGCCAUCGCUCAACGGAUAAAAGGUACUCCGGGGAUAACAGGCUGAUACCGCCCAAGAGUUCAUAUCGACGGCGGUGUUUGGCACCUCGAUGUCGGCUCAUCACAUCCUGGGGCUGAAGUCGGUCCCAAGGGUAUGGCUGUUCGCCAUUUAAAGUGGUACGCGAGCUGGGUUCAGAACGUCGUGAGACAGUUCGGUCCCUAUCUGCCGUGGGCGUUGGAUGAUUGAAGGGAGUUGCUCCUAGUACGAGAGGACCGGAGUGAACGAACCUCUGGUGUUCGGGUUGUCACGCCAGUGGCACUGCCCGGUAGCUAAGUUCGGAAUCGAUAACCGCUGAAAGCAUCUAAGCGGGAAGCGAGCCCUGAGAUGAGUCAUCCCUGACCCCUUGAGGGUCCUAAAGGGCCGUUGGAGACCACAACGUUGAUAGGUGGGGUGUGUAAGCGCGGCGACGUGUUGAGCUAACCCAUACUAAUUACCCGUGAGGCUUAACCAUACAACACCCAAGAAGUGUU